rnacentral:tRNA from 1 species
CAUAAGAUGGCUGAGGAAAGGCGGUGAGCUGUAAACUCAUGGACAAGGUAGGCCCUUUCUUAUGA